AGCCGUGUGAUGGGCGCAUAUCGAAUUAUUCUUUCGCCUUUUACUAAAGAAUACCGUGUGCUCUUCACAUUAUACGGCAUACGCCAUUUUUUGGAUUUUACGGUUAUCUUCAUAUGU